UGGGGAAUAUUGCACAAUGGGCGAAAGCCUGAUGCAGCAACGCCGCGUGAGCGAUGAAGGCCUUUGGGUCGUAAAGCUCUGUCCUUGGGGAAGAAACAAAUGACGGUACCCAAGGAGGAAGCCCCGGCUAACUACGUGCCAGCAGCCGCGGUAAUACGUAGGGGGCAAGCGUUAUCCGGCAUUAUUGGGCGUAAAGAGUGCGUAGGUGGUUUUGUAAGCGCGGGGUGAAAGGCAAUGGCUCAACUAUUGUAAGCCCUGCGAACUGCAAGACUUGAGUGCAGGAGAGGAAAGCGGAAUUCUUAGUGUAGCGGUGAAAUGCGUAGAUAUUAGGAGGAACACCAGUGGCGAAGGCGGCUUUCUGGACUGUAACUGACACUGAGGUACGAAAGCGUGGGGAGCAAACA
rnacentral:rRNA from 1 species